CCAAAGAGCUAGAAGCAAGAUGCUUUGGGGCCCAACUCGUCCUUUGUAAAGAAGCCUGCACGUUGUGCCUUUCAGCUCUAGGGCAAUGGAGCACACCCAGAGCAGAAGUUCUACUUCAGCCUGAUGAGGCCUGCAAAGAAACUGCGUUUCACAGGCCUUUGUAAGAGAUGUUCCCGGUAGGCUGUAAGAGCACUGUGCAGAGCGAGUUGUUUCUUAGCUUCCCAAAGACCUGGAAGCAAGAUGCUUUGGGGCCCAACUCGCCCUUUGGAAAGAAGCCUGCACGUUGUGACUUUCAGCUCUAGGGCAAUGUAGAACACGCAGAGCAAAAGUUCUACUUCAGCCAUAUGAGGCCUGCAAGGAAACUGCGUUUCACAGGCCUUUGUAAGAGAUGUUCCCGGUAGGCUUCAAGAGCACUGUGCAGAGCGAGUUGUUUCUUAGCUUCCCAAAGAGCUGGAAGCAAGAUGCUGUGGGGCCCAACUCGCCCUUUGGAAAGAAGCCUGCACGUUGUGCCUUUCAGCUCUAGGGCAAUGUAGCACACGCAGAGCAGAAGUUCUACUUCAGGCAAUCAGGCCUGCAAAGAAACUGCGUUUCACAGGCCUUUGGAAGAGAUGUUCCCGGUAGGCUGUAAGAGCACUGUGCAGAGCGAGUUGUUUCUUAGCUUCCCGAAGAGCUGGAAGCAAGAUUCUUUGGGGCCCAACUCGCCCUUUGGAAAGAAGGCUGCACGUUGUGCCUUUCAGCUCUUGGCAAUGGAGCACACCCAGAGCAGAAGUUCUACUUCAGCCAGAUGAGGCCUGCAAAGAAACUGCGUUUCACAGGCCUUUGUAAGAGAUGUUCCCCGUAGGCUGUAAGAGCACUGUGCAGAGCGAGUAGUUUCUUAGCUUCACAAAGACCUGGAAGCAAGAUGCUUUGGGGCCCAACUCGCCCUUUGGAAAGAAGCCUGCACGUUGUGCCUUUCAGCUCUAGGGCAAUGGAGCACACGCAGAGCAGAAGUUCUACUUCAGCCAGAUCAGGCCUGCAAAGAAACUGCGUUUCACAGGCCUUUGUAAGAGAUGUUCCCGGUAGGCUGUAAGAGCACUGUGCAGAGCGAGUUGUUUCUUAGCUUCCCAAAGAGCUGGAAGCAAGAUGCUUUGGGGCCCAACUCGCCCUUUGGAAAGAAGCCUGCACGUUGUGCCUUUCAGCUCUAGGGCAAUGGAGCACACCCAGAGCAGAAGUUCUACUUCAGCCAGAUGAGGCCUGCAAAGAAACUGCGUUUCACAGGCCUUUGUAAGAGAUGUUCCCGGUAGGCUGUAAGAGCACUGUGCACAGCGAGUUGUUUCUUAGCUUCCCAAAGAGCUGGAAGCAAGAUGCUUUGGGGCCCAACUCGCCCUUUGGAAAGAAGCCUUCACGUUGUGCCUUUUAGUUCUAGGGCAGUGGAGCACACCCAGAGCAGAAGUUCUACUUGAACCGGAUCAGGCCUUCAAAGAAACUGUGUUUCACAGGCCUUUGUAAGAGAUGUUCCCGGUAGGCUGUAAGAGCACUGUGCACAGCGAGUUGUUUCUUAGCUUCCCAAAGACCUGGAAGCAAGAUGCUUUGGGGCCCAACUGGACCAUUGGAAAGAAGCCUGCACGUUAUGCCUUUCAGCUCUAGGGCAAUGGAGCACACCCUGAGCAGAAGUUCAACUUCAGCCACAUCAGGCCUGCAAAGAAACUACGUUUCACAGGCCUUUGUAAGAGAUGUUCCCGGUAGGCUUUAAGAGAACUGUGCAGAGCGAGUUGUUUCUUAGCUUCCCAAAGAGCUGGAAGCAAGAUGCUUUGGGGCCCAACUCGCCCUUUGGAAAGAAGCCUGCACGUUGUGCCUUUCAGCUCUAGGGCAAUGUAGCUCACCCAGAGCAGAAGUUCUACUUCAGCCACAUCAGGCCUGCAAAGAAACUGCGUUUCACAGGCCUUUGUAAGAGAUGUUCCCGGUAGGCUGUAAGAGCACUGUGCAGAGCCAGUUGUUUCUUAGCUUCCCAAAGAGCUGGAAGCAAGAUGCUUUGGGGCCCAACUCGCCCUUUGGAAAGGAGAAUGCACGUUAUGCCUUUCAGCUCUAGGGCAAUGGAGCACACCCUGAGCAGAAGUUCUACUUCAGCCAGAUCAGGCCUGCAAAGAAAGUGCGUUUCACAGGCCUUUGUAAGAGACGUUCCCGAUAGGCUGUAAGAGCACUGUGCAGAGCGAGUUGUUUCUUAGCUUCCCGAAGAGCUGGAAGCAAGAUGCUUUGGGGCCCAACUCGCCCUUUGGAAAGAAGCCUGCACGUUGUGCCUUUCAGCUCUUGGCAAUGGAGCACACCCAGAGCAGAAGUUCUACUUCAGCCAGAUGAGGCCUGCAAAGAAACUGCGUUUCACAGGCCUUUGUAAGAGAUGUUCCCGGUAGGCUGUAAAACACCAGUGCAGAGCAAGUUGUUUCUUAGCUGCCCAUUGAGCUGGAAGCCCCACGGUGUUUGCCCUGACUGCCCUUGAGGACACAAGGCAGGACUUUGUGCCUUGCAGCUCCUGGC
rnacentral:lncRNA from 1 species